UUUUUGCGUUAGGGAUAUUAGCGGCAUCCUUUUUUAACUGCUUAUGCGAAGCACUAAGCUGUUAAAAAAGAUAUAGCGAAUAGCCCGACCCGCA
rnacentral:sRNA from 1 species